ensembl:lncRNA
AUGUAUCGGUCACCUCGAAGCGCCGGCUCUGCCUUUCCGCCCCGCCGCGGGCUCACGGCGCGCGUCCGGCGGCUCCGGUCCUGCAGCGGGCGGGCACACGCGCUGUCAGCGGCUCCCGUCCCUCAGCGCUCCCUCAGCGCUCCCUCAGCCCCGCGCGCCGUUAACGACCGUUACCCGGGGCGCGAGGCGGCCCCCGCUCCCGCCCCCGCCUCGCGCCCCGCAGCGCAGCCCCCGCCCCGCGCUCGGCUGCUCACGCGCCGCUCGGAGGGGCAGAAGCGCAGGAGCUGCGCGGCGUCCGCGCGGGAUGGAGCGCUCGCUCCCUCCGUCCCCAGGCAACGCCGUCGGGCUUCCCGCGGCCGCGCCGCGAGGCGGGGGGGGAUGGGAGGGGAGGUAAAGCGGAGGGGAGCGCGGGGCUGCGCUCCCGCUGAGGCACCCAAACAGCGGCCGCCCCGGCAACGCGGCGCGUUUGCUCGCACCCGGGGCACCGGCGCGAGGGAGCACCGCCCCGCGCUCCUACCUGGGAGGGGCCGCCCGCGCUGCCCGCCGGCUCCCGCCGCCCCGAGCCCCGUCCUGCCGCCGCCGCGCCGGGCUCAUGGGCUCAGCCGCGCCGCCCCGCCGGCCGCCAGAGCGAAGGCGGCCCGGGCCAUUACCCCGGCGCGGCGGCGGGGCCGGCCCUUCGCUCGGGCCGGUCGGGGCGGGCAGGGGGAGGGCUGUGCCGCGGGGGCCGCCCCUCGGGGCUUUGACAGCGGCGCGGCGGGGAGCGGGGUUACGCCCGCGGGCCCGGGCUGGCGGAGCGGGACGGGACGGGACAGACACCCCGCGCCGGCUGCGCCGCGGCGUCCUGCCCCUCCGGGAACUGCCGCGUGGGACCCGGCCGCUGCGGCGCGGCACCGAGGGGAGCAGCGGAGGGAGCCGAGGCCGUGCCGAGGGCCGGGCAGCGGGAGGAGCGAGAUGCUCUGAACAUUGUGUAUUUGGUGUGAGGGAGGCAGCCCUCCCUAGCAGACACAAGGUCUAGAGAUGGAACACGCCGUUCUGGGAGCAGCAGUACCAAUGAAGUCUCAUGCACAGUGACUCUCCCUUUUCCUGCCCUGCAUGGAAGCCCUGAGGUCUACCAAAGAAGGAACAUGCCAGCCUUCCCCCCGAGGGGUCUUUUUUGUUUUUCCUGAAAUCACCAAACUUACUAGCUCUCUGUCAGAUUUAGUUGAAAACUGCGUAAUGUCCUCAGGAUACGUUUGUGGGAACACAACAUUAUGAAAAGGGAAAAAUUCCCACCUCUAUAGGAAACAAAACUAAGUAGCAACCAGCUGACGUGAACACUGAAUUUCAACAGUUCUGUCGUGGGCCACCGUGAACAAAGUGAAGACUUUCAGCCUGCAUUACCCCUCUGCAGACAGCAGCUCCGCAUCCAGGUGCUCCGCUCACCUUUAUCCAUCCCUGUCCCAUCGGUCUGUGAGGCCCUUGGUACGGAACAACUCUUCUCUAGUAUGGAAAUGCUGAAGUCACCUGGCAGUGCUACCAGAAACAAUAAUUAUGUAAGACAGAAAUACACUGCAGUAACUGCCUAAGCCCCAAUUACAUCUGAAGAGGCAAUAAAAUUUAUUGAGGGAAAUAUUGUUCCA